rnacentral:tRNA from 1 species
CCUCCGAUAGUUCAAAUGGAUAGAACAGAAGCGUCCUAAGCUUUUAAUGUGGGUUCAAUUCCUGCUCGGGGGA